rnacentral:snoRNA from 1 species
AUUGGCCUUAGAGGCAUUGCAGGUGUGUCUGUUGUGUCACAUUGCAUCAGUAGGUGGCAGAGAGAAGCUUUGUCUAUGUCCUACUUGUGAAUAGCCUAACACU